UACAGAGGUGGCAAGCGUUGUUCGGAAUUACUGGGCGUAAAGGGCGAGUAGGUGGCCAUCUAAGUCAGACGUGAAAUCCCCCGGCUUAACCUGGGAACUGCAUCCGAUACUGGAUGGCUUGAAUUCGGGAGAGGGAUGCAGAAUUCCAGGUGUAGCGGUGAAAUGCGUAGAUAUCUGGAGGAACACCGGUGGCGAAGGCGGCAUCCUGGACCGAUACUGACGCUGAGGAGCGAAAGCCAGGGGAGCAAACGGG
rnacentral:rRNA from 1 species